UACGUAGGAGGCAAGCGUUGUCCGGAAUUACUGGGCGUAAAGCGCGUGUAGGUGGUGGGACAAGUCUGCUGUGAAAGCGCCUGGCUUAACCGGGCGAGGUCGGCGGAAACUGUCCGACUAGAGGACGGUAGAGGGGGGUGGAAUUCCCGGUGUAGUGGUGAAAUGCGUAGAUAUCGGGAGGAACACCAAUGGCGAAGGCAGCUCGCUGGGACGUUACUGACGCUGAGACGCGAAAGCGUGGGGAGCAAACAGG
rnacentral:rRNA from 1 species